rnacentral:lncRNA from 1 species
CUUACAAUGUGGAGGACACUCUCUCAAGAUAAGUCACAGCUACAGUCGGAGAGUGAAGGAGAAAUCAAUGAGAGCUGCACUGCUUCUCCAUCUGAACACACAGAGAUACAGUACAGAACAUCAGCUGAAGAGCUCAGUGUAUGCUUUAUCUGCUGAAAUGAGUCCACUCUCAGCCUUUGAUCUCUCAUUCAUCUGACUGCAAAAACUCCAACACUGCAAGUCCCAGCGGACACAAUACUCUCAGAUUUUGUCAGCUCUUCUUUUUUACCAUUCCAUGUGCACAAUCGUCUGAGGAUCUGAAGACGCUUUUGAAAUCUGCACUACUGUCCAUUUAAGCCCACUGUGUCUGUCUGUGGUCGAGCAGCAGAUGCACAACAUCAGCAUCAAAUAAACUAUUCCAUUAACCCCUUCACACCUGAAUUAUUUUCCAAAUUUCAGAAAAAUAGGAUGUCAUGUGAUGUCCAUUGUAAUGGACGCAGGGUCUGAAGGGGUUAAACGUGCUAUAGUGUGAGCUCGAUGAGUUUUCAUUUACGUUUCUCUCUUUAUCCCUCUCUUACACUGAUAUUUUACAUCAAGGCCAUUGUGACGACCCCAGGAUUCCAGUUAUGAUGUGGCAGAUCCUGAUUGGGUGCCUGGUUGCUCACCAAUUGGUUCAAAGCAUA